CUCUCUCUCUUGAAGAAGAAUAAUGGAUGCCAACUGGUCCAAAACCACAUCUCUUUCAGUUGUUUUUAAGGGCAAUUGAGCCAUCAAUCAUAUUCAAUUGGAAGUUGAAAGGUUCUGGUUUUAUCCUUUUAUUUGUUUUAAUCAUAAAAGUUUCAUUUAAAAAAAAAUCCAAAUGUAUUUUGUUUGGAUGACGUGAAAAAUGAGCUACGAUUUUGGAGGAAAGAAGAAUAACUCGUUGUAAUUCUUAACAUUGUGUUGUUCCUAAAUCGUAUUUAUUGGAAGGAAGAAUCACAGCAUGCCACAUGUGGGUCGAGAAUGGAGUUCGGCCAUCAACCUAUGGAUAUCAAUCUAUAGAGAUCAACCCCUUCGACUUGGAGCAACAAAUGAAGGAAAGAGAAAUCCCUUAGCACGUCAUGCUCAAGCCAAGGGGUUGGGGCCUUCCCUGACCCGUACAUUUGGGAGUUAUUAAAGCGAAAUCAAUGACUGCUUUGAUUACCUCUGCGAUCCCAGCCGUAAUUCUCACAACGGGAAGAUUCCACUUGACCUUAUAAAUACACCGUAAUUCUCACAACGGGAAGAUUCCACUUGACCCUAUAAAUACACUCUCCCUUAUCCACUCGGUGAGGUAUGCAAUUCUUUUUGAAACCGACUUAGAAAUUCGGAUCUUGAACUGACUUAAGCACCAGAGUGCUUUUUCUUUGCUUACAGAUCUUUCUAUUCAGUCCGCUCGAGUUUCACCUUGUGAA